AGUUGAGACUGCUGACCCUUCAACUGGGUCUGCAUGGGUGCUUGAGAGGUGGCCUUUUGAUAUCAGAGGGUCAAAAACUCCACCCACAAGAUCAUGCUAAUGUUGCCAUUUGCUGUACAUAUGUCCUGUGAACUGUUCUUCCACCUCAUCUCUUGGUGACCUAGUGCAUAAAUCUUUUCUCUUUUGCAGAAUCUAUGUCACAGUGAUUGAUUUACUGCAUAUGAGCAGAAUGAACCUAGACCUGGCCAGUAUCACUAAGCUGUGUUUCCCCUGAAGUUACGUAAAAAGCAUUUGUGGAUUUAACACAGUUAAGGGUCUCACUUCAUCACCCAGGCUGGAGUGCAGUAGCACAAUUACAGCUUCCUACAUCUUGACUGUGGUCCUCCCCCUUCAGCCUCUCAGCAGAGAGAGAAAGAAAGCAGAGAUCUUUGAAGCAGAGAAAGAAAGCAGAAAGCAGAGAUCUUUGAAGGCUUAAGAAA
rnacentral:lncRNA from 1 species